GCAGGCUGCAACUCGCCUGCAUGAAGUUGGAAUUGCUAGUAAUCGCGAAUCAGAAUGUCGCGGUGAAUACGUUCCCGGGCCUUGUACACACCGCCCGUCACACCAUGAGAGCCGAUAACACCCGAAGCCUGUGAGCUAACCGUAAGGGGGCAGCAGUCGAAGGUGGGGUUGGUGAUUGGGGUGAAGUCGUAACAAGGUAUC
rnacentral:rRNA from 1 species